CUUUCUUGGAGGGUGACCUUGGUCCAUCUCAGGGAACUGUCUGCCUGGAGAGAGAUUAGACUUUGUUUCCAAAGGGAUGCAGAAAGAAAGAUUGAGGCAAUAUUCAGUUAUUGACAGACAAAAUAGGAUUACGCAUGAGAGCACUAGUCUAGUGGUGAACCCAGCUAUUGUCUCAGAAAGGAUAUUUAAAAUUCCUUUAUCUUCUCCACUAGCAUGCUAACCACCAAGACCAGGGGAUAGUUCACACUCUUCCUAAAAUCAGUGGGCAAAACAUGGGCCCCGUUUGCCAUUAAGGCUCAAGCAAUCUGGUCAAGCAAUGACACAUUAAGACCCAGCCAAAAGUUGGAGGUGGAAAGAGGGAGAAUACAAUGGGUGUGAGCCCCUCACUCUCCCCCAACAUAGGAAUGGCUGCAGCAGGGGGUGAUGAACCCUUCACCAAGGCUAGGGGUGGACUGCAGGCCAGAGGGCUAGACACAGGACUGGCUGACCUCAGCAGGUCUGCAUCCAUGGGCAUUGAGAAGAGGCAGAGUCAGCCAAAAGGUGCCACUGAACUAUGGAGACCCAUCACAGUCUUCCCCUGCCUCAGGCUCUGGCAGCAAAUGAUCCCAGAGCAAACAACACCCAGGUGGACAGGGCAGAGGAGGACAGGACACCCCAUCCAGGGGCUUAGACUCAUCCCCCACACUGUCACCAUAUGGAUUUGUAAGCCCAUCUUCCCAUGUAUGUGGACCUCACCUUAGCAAGUGCAACAGUUGAGUAUUUUUACUCCAAUGAGCAAAAAUUUUCCUAGGGGGGCUGUUCAAAAUUAUUAGAGCCAACUACAUUCAGUCAUAUUAAAAAAUUCAAAUUGUUUUUUUUCCCUGCUCACCAGUAUUGAGAGGAAGAUCUGGUUAUUGAAAAAUAGCAACCAGUUAUAUUUUCUCUGCAUAUAGGAAUACAUAUAUCUCCUGUGCAGGGGAGUGUGUGAUGAUGGCCAAAUGAACGGAAGGAUAGGAGGCCAGCAGAAGCCCAGAGCAAGACCAGGCAAGGAGAGAGUGGGCAUUUCUCAUUCCUGUCUGACCGGCUCUACUUUCUCACUUCCAGUCAUCUGCUCUUCCUUGGAGGACACACCUCCCCCAGGCCAGGUGGUCAGGGUGAGGUUAUCAGUCACAGUCCCCUUCCUACCAAGACUCAGGUAAGUGACCCCCCCUUCACUGGCCAAUCAGAGAGGUGGCGCCUAUGUGAAUGUAGUGAUUGGUUCUAGGCGGCUGCGUGAGCCAAGCAGGACUGCUAGGGUUUCCUCUAAAAACCGAGAUGCUGAGGGGGGAAAGAGAUGCUGGGAGAGACAGGAAACUUCUUCCUUUUGACUUUCAAUCCAUAAGGAAUCAGGCUUCAGGCUACCAGGGGCCAUACUCCUUACCCCACAUAAAGAAGGACACUGACUCAAAAAGGGAAGCCAAGAAAAGAGAUGGCUAGAGAGAGACAAAGUCCCAAUGGCAUAAUUUGUUCCCUGGAUCCAUCUGUGCCUCAGGUUAACCAUAGACUCCUCAGUUACAUGAAUCACUAGCUUCCGUAUUUUUCUUCUCAACCUAGCUUGAGUUGAGGUUUUUAUAGUUACCACCAAAGACAGCCUUACUCAUAUGGAGAUAUCAGGAAAGCUUCUGGAGCAGAUGUCUCAAGCUAAACCUUGGAAGAUGAGUAGUGCAGUGGGCUGAAUGUUUGCAUCCUCUUGGAAUUCAGAUGUUGACAUUUUAACUGCCCCUGUGAUGGAAUUAGGAGGUGGGGCUUUGGGAGGUGAUUAGGUCAUGAGAGUGGAGUCCUUAUAAUUAUGCAAAUAUGGCUGAGAUCGGGUGGCUCAUGCCUGUAAUCCCAGCACUUUGGGAGGCCAAGGCAGGAGGAUCUCUUGAGCCCAGGAAUUCAAGACCAGCCUGGGCAAUGUAGCGAGAGCCCUUCUCUACAAAAAUUAUUAAAAAUUAGCCAGAUAUGGUGGCUAAUGUGCACCUGUAGUCCUAGCUACUUGGGAUGCUGAGGCAGGAGGAUCACUUGAGCCCAGGAGUUUGAGGCUGCCGUGGGCUAUAAUCACAUCACUGCACUCCAGUCUGGCUGACAGAAUGAGACCCUAUCUAUUAAAAAAAAAAAGAAAAAAAGACGCAAGAAAGAUGAUCCCUGUCCACCACAUGAAGACACAGCAAGAAGGUGGCCCUAUAUAAACCAGGAAGAGGGCUCUCACCGAGAACCCAACCAUGCCGGCACCUUGACCUCAGACUUGCAACAUCCAGAGCUGUGAGAAAAUAAGUUGUUGCUGUUUAAGCCACCCAGGCUAUGGUAUUCCAUUACAGAAGCCCAAAGUGAUUAGGACGGAAACUUGUGUGUUCAAUUUUUGGGCUGGUGACAGGGAUGGACAACACGGAAAAUGGAGGAGAAUGAACGCCAAUAUGCAAGGUGGUAUGUGGG
rnacentral:lncRNA from 10 species